CACUUCUGCAGUUAUACAUGAGCCUGUGUUGCCCUGCCAUUCUGAGAUGUACAGUUCUCUCUUUCCCACUGAACUGUGCGGGAGGGCAGGAACUGGGCCUCGUUCAUCAGUCAGUCCCUACUUUCUAACACGGAGCCUGGCAUAUGGGAAGUGCUCGGUGAAUGGGGAACGAAAAAUCCACAGGACAGGAGAGGCAGAGCACUUCCAGAGAGAGGCUGAGAUUGAGGACUGAGCGACGGUCAACCCAAAACGAACUGAUAAUUCAGGCUUGG
rnacentral:lncRNA from 1 species